GACGAACGCUGGCGGCGUGCUUAACACAUGCAAGUCGAACGAAGUGGCGAACGGGUGAGUAACGCGUAAUCAACCUGCCCAUCAGAGGGGGACAACAGUUGGAAACGACUGCUAAUACCGCAUACUGAAUGAGGGGAUUUCGUCUGAUUAGCUAGUUGGAGGGGGAACGGCCCCCCAAGGCGAUGAUCAGUAGCCGGUAUGAAGGGAUGAACGGCCACAUUGGGACUGAGAAACGGCCCAGACUCCGACGGGAGGCAGCAGUGGGGAAACUUCCGAAAUGGACGAAAGUCUGACGGAGCAACGCGGGGUGAGUGAUGCCGGCCUUCGGGUUGUAAAGCUCUGUUAAUCGGGACGCGGUACCGGAAUAGAAAGCCACGGCUAACUACGUGCCAGCAGCCGCGGUGAUUC
rnacentral:rRNA from 1 species